UACGUAGGGUGCGAGCGUUGUCCGGAAUUAUUGGGCGUAAAGAGCUCGUAGGCGGUCUGUCGCGUCGAUCGUGAAAACUUGGGGCUUAACCCUGAGCUUGCGGUCGAUACGGGCAGGCUCGAGUUCGGUAGGGGAGACUGGAAUUCCUGGUGUAGCGGUGAAAUGCGCAGAUAUCAGGAGGAACACCGGUGGCGAAGGCGGGUCUCUGGGCCGAUACUGACGCUGAGGAGCGAAAGCGUGGGGAGCGAACAGG
rnacentral:rRNA from 1 species